CAGCUCCACUCCAGUUGUGCGCAACCAAUCAGGAGCAAGCAAGCAGACGACGUCGUUGCGCGCCAAAGCUACACGCAGCACGCUUCCAUUGUCUGCGACCAAAACAAACAUCGACGCUCGCCCACCGGCUGACCGUUGUUGUUGAUAACUUGCGUGGAAAGGUAAGUUAACUUAUUAUGGUCCCUUUCGAGAUUGUUUUAAUGAAACGGAAAUAAAACAAUAGGGGUAAUCACUAAACAUAUUAAAUUGCUGCGUAAGCCAUGAUUUUCUGCUUAUUUGAAAUAUUUCAUGAUUUUGCAUAUGAAAUAAUCAAAGAUUGCCUUGGUGAUCGCGACGUUUAAUCAGUUUAAUCAGUUUAAGCUGUUAAGUGAAUCCCCCUAAUAUUUUCUGGAAUAGUAGCUGAUUCGCUUGAUUGUGCCAUUACUUGUUGCAUUCAGUCUUGUACUGAUCGCACGCGGUUGAUACCGGUUGGGUAUGUUUCAAGAAAUGCAAAUAUGGAUACUGCCCAUGAUAUGAGAUUCACCCUUGCGCACAACUUUGUUUCUUCGAAGCUGGCUCCCGAUUUCAGACAGUACAUGUUGCUAAGUGUUUGACAGUUGCUGUUUACCGAACCUCAGCAAACUGAGUCAAUUGCCGAUUGAUGUUGCAAAAUAUAUUGCCGAGAUUCAGUAAUUCAUGUAAAUUACUAAAUUUCGUUGAUUUCAAUGACAUAUUUCUGAUGAACUGUCAAAUUUUAACGACAUUCCAACAAAAACAUGCUUUACCGAUUGAGUUCGUUAUUUCAGAUUACCGAGAUCAAAUUUUUAGAUUAAGUGUGUUGGAGUAAGUUUGUUGUGUCUCGUUUCGCUAAAUUCACGGUUUCGUUUAUAUUACGGUUAAAUUUUUUUUGACCGUGAUAAAACCGAAAAACCACUGUAUAAGUAAACUCAUACACUAAGCAUAUAUUAUCAUUCGAUUUCCAUAUAUUUUUACACUUUUUAUUAAAUAAACUUGGAGAACACCGAAAUAUUCCGUUCUCGGAGCACACAUAUUUCCUUGCUUCUCCAGCACGGCACCAGCUUCUGGAAUUAGCAUUGAGUUGAAAAUGCGAUGAUGAAAAAGUCCAUCCAACACUUGCUGCAGCAAAUGAUUCGGUCCUCUUGAAACUAUAUCUUAAACCUCACUUCACGAUUUAUUCCUUGCUUUACUCCAUACUCCGAAGUUAUAUUUGCGAAAAUCAAAUGCAAACGAUUUGUUUUGCUUCGCGAAACAUGGCGGAUGGGAAAAGUGACAGUUGUAUGAAUACUUGCCGAAAUCUCAGCAAAAACGUUUACUGAAAUCGGCAUUAAACGCAUUUACUGAUAAGCUCCGCAAAUAAGUUUAUCAAAAUUAAGAAAUUUCAAAUGAGUUGCCGAUAUCUCAGCAAAAAUUUAAAGUUAAUCUCGGAAAACAAAUGUUUAUUGUCGAAUCAUCAGCAAAAUUAUGAAUUGCUGUUGCAGCUCGGCAUUUUUUUCUGCCGAGCUCAAAAAUAUAUUUUAUGCAAUUCAGGAUCAUAAUUUUUUAUUUUAUAUAACUUAUUUUGGUAUCAUAAUGGGCAAUUUUUCCGAACUGGUUCAUUAUGCAACUGAAAUGAGUUGCAUAAUGAAAAAUACUUGUAUAAUGUUCAUAAUGCAACUCAUUUGAGUUGAAUUAUGAACAUUAUGCAACUCAAAUGGGUUGCAUUAUGAAAAAAUCAUUGCAUAAAAUUUUGUAUGGAACUCGUUGCAAAACUCGAUUUUUUCAGCACUCUUCGUAUUUAUCCAACUCGGCAAGCCUCGUUGGAUAAAUGUACGACUCGUGCUGAAAAAAUCAACUUUUUGCAACUCGUUACAUAAAUAACUAUUAAGUGUGUGAACACCAACCAUCAAAUGCUGAAACCAAGCAUAAACGUCAUUACUUGAACCCGUGUUGAUUGAGCCUUCUGCCUGCCUACUCAUUGUUCAUCAUGGCGGUGGUAGUUAAAAGUGGCGACGGUGACAUUGUCGUUUUAUUGUAUCAGUUUUAUGAAAUAAAUCAUUUACUGCCUGCCUCUGCAACUAGAACAAAUAUUCAAUCUCCGUGAAGAUUCAGCCAUUUCAGCUUCAGAUGCAGUUUGCAAUCGUACACCCCCAAUCGAAAGGUGACCCAAAAUGCAGCAUCCGUAGCACGAGCACCGAGACCGAAACUAGAGCCAGCAAUCGGAAUCAACACCUUCCUGUUGGGAACACCCGGUUCGAGCUAGAAAACACAGGCUCCGUUGAAAAUGAAGUGUUUUUUGCGUGUUCCACCUAUCGACAGACAAGAAGCUGCGACCGGAAAUUGCUGGGCGUCCACGUCAAGAAGGUCAUGGACGAGAUCGAGUUGAUGCCCGAUGAUCUAGUGAUGAACCGGAGUGCAAAAAUGGAUUCCUUUUGGACCUUGUUUUGGACGGUUUCCCCCUGAACGGUUGUGCAAUCCGAGAAAUUGGACGACCUGCUGGAGAAGCACAAGACAGCAAGACCGGGUCGCCCCUAAAAGUGUAGCGCGAGUUUUUGGGAGCAUUGGCAGUGCUUCUCAAAAAAAUAUUAUAUAAAAGUCAGUGCACAAAUAUGCUUGUUCGCGACCGAAAUAUGAUUGACAUAACUUUAUAUUUUUCACCAUGAAUAUAAUGUAAUUGGUGAAAUGCUCAGAUGGCCUACAACAUCACCUAGCAUAAAUUUUUCAACUCGUUUAACCAUCAGCAAUUCCUUUUCUGCUUUUAUUUGCAAGUACUCGUGCAAAUGUAGCAGAUUGAGAAUCGCAGCUAAAGAUUUUGAUGGAGUGCUGCGUAUCUCCUGUAACAGAAAUGGAUGCAAGACUUUGAAUUUUCGCAAGCUUCGAUAGCCUCUUUUGUUUUUGGCCACCAGACAAACGAAGCAUGCGAUACUUCCUCAAUAUGCUCAUGCAUCAAAAAAAAAACAAA